rnacentral:rRNA from 1 species
GACGAACGCUGGCGGCGUGCCUAAUACAUGCAAGUCGAACGCUGAAGCUUGGUGCUUGCACCGAGCGGAUGAGUUGCGCACGGGUGAGUAACGCGUAGGUAACCUGCCUGGUAGCGGGGGAUAGCUAGUGGAAACGAUAGCUAAUACCGCAUAAGAGUAGAUGUUGCAUGACAUUUUCUUAAAAGGUGCAAUUGCAUCACUACCAGAUGGACCUGCGUUGUAUUAGCUAGUUGGUGAGGUAACGGCUCACCAAGGCAACGAUACAUAGCCGACCUGAGAGGGUGAUAGGCCACACUGGGACUGGGACACGGCCCAGACGCCUACGGGACGGAGCAGUAGGGAAUCUUCGGCAAUGGACGGAAGUCUGACCGAGCAACGCCGCGUGAGUGAAGAAGGUUUUCGGAUCGUAAAGCUCUGUUGUAAGAGAAGAACGAGUGUGAGAGUGGAAAGUUCACACUGUGACGGUAUCUGACCAGAAAGGGACGGUUAACUCCUU